GACGAACGCUGGCGGCGUGCCUAAUACAUGCGAGUUGAGCGAUGAAGCUUGGUGCUUGCACCAAUUUGAAGAGCAGCGAACGGGUGAGUAACGCGUGGGGAAUCUGCCUUUGAGCGGGGGACAACAUUUGGAAACGAAUGCUAAUACCGCAUAACAACUUUAAACAUAAGUUUUAAGUUUGAAAGAUGCAAUUGCAUCACUCAAAGAUGAUCCCGCGUUGUAUUAGCUAGUUGGUGAGGUAAAGGCUCACCAAGGCGAUGAUACAUAGCCGACCUGAGAGGGUGAGCGGCCACAUUGGGACUGAGACACGGCCCAAACUCCUACGGGAGGCAGCAGUAGGGAAUCGUCGGCAAUGGACGGAAGUCUGACCGAGCAACGCCGCGUGAGGGAAGAAGGUUGUCGGAUCGGAAAACUCUGUUGGUAGAGAAGAACGUUGGUGAGAGUGGAAAGCUCAUCAAGUGACGGUAACUACCCAGAAAGGGACGGCUAACUACGUG
rnacentral:rRNA from 1 species